GCGUUUGCAGUCCAACGGUUAGGAUAAUUGCCUUCCAAGCAAUGGAUCCGGGUUCGACUCCCGCCAGACGAAC
rnacentral:tRNA from 1 species